rnacentral:rRNA from 1 species
CAGUAGCCGCGGUAAUACGUAGGUGGCAAGCGUUGUCCGGAAUUAUUGGGCGUAAAGGGCUCGCAGGCGGUUUCUUAAGUCUGAUGUGAAAGCCCCCGGCUCAACCGGGGAGGGUCAUUGGAAACUGGGAAACCUGAGUGCAGAAGAGGAGAGUGGAAUUCCACGUGUAGCGGUGAAAUGCGUAGAGAUGUGGAGGAACACCAGUGGCGAAGGCGACUCUCUGGUCUGUAACUGACGCUGAGGAGCGAAAGCGUGGGGAGCGAACAGGAUUAGAUACCCCAGUAGUCCCUGUCUCUUAUAU